GGGUUGUUGUGCACUAUUUGAAUCUGUAACCAAUACUAUAGCUGCAUCCACACGUAUGCAGAAUUUAAGUUAGGUGAUCAUAGAUAUUCAGCGGAAUAGUUGAGGUGCAUGGUAGAUAGUCCAUACAAUCACUUUUCUUUAUAGUAAGGAACAAGAUAUAUAUCUAGCACAUGUUUAGUUCCCUGAAAUAACAAAAUCGAACUCAUUAGAACUCAGUAAAUCACCAUGUUUGACAUUCUAAUAUACGAUUUUUGAACGGAUCUUAGACAGUUCUUUCUUUUAAUAUAACUGUAAUGGUUGGCCAUUUAAGCAUGUAAAAUUGUAUAUGGUCUGUGCCACUACUCCAAUAUAAUUAAGCAGUGAAGAGCCACGAUGCUUGUUAAUUUUCAAGAAACGAAACACUGCUUCCAACUACACUGCACCAGAAAGUUUAAUUUAUGACAUUGCAUUGAGAAAGAGGCUAUAAUAAGGUUACGUCCCCCCCCCCUCCCCCCCAAAAAAAUAAAAAUUGUCUUUAUCAUACACGAGUAAAUACUAUACUAAGCAAGUAAUUUUGGUGAUGAUCCAAAUCAGAUUAAGGCCAUUAGCCAGAUGAUUCUUUGGACGUCUUAAAAACAGAACGAUUACGUACCUUAUGAGUUGAUUGGCCUUGUAGCGUUAAAG
rnacentral:lncRNA from 1 species